UUUUAUUUCAUUUUGGCACGCAAAACUUGAUUUUAUACAAAAGUUGAUUGAUGAUACAAUGGAACCAUCGACUCAAACAAAAAGAAAACAGCGCUUAGACACUUGAUGCAAUUAUCGUGACAGCAUUAAAAGUUCUAGUACACAGAAUCUCACAGCCAUAAGUUAAAGUAAAAGCCACAAGAAUUGCAUUUCUGGCAAGUGAUUAAAUAUUGUUCUGUGAGUUUGCUCUCUCGUUCGGCACCAAGAG